UUGAAUUCCCCUUCCCUAUUAAUUCUCUCUAAAACUCCCAUGAACCCUAGCCGCCGCUAUCUCACCCCACCUUAAUACCUACUCAAUCUAUGACCUUCCGUGGUCGUCUGAAGCAUGUACCCGUCUUCCAUGGCUCCUAUGUGCUUGGUUCUAUGGUUUCAUGAGCAUACUUCGGAGGAGUCUGGUAUAGUCCUUGCUCGACUACUGUUCAUGGCUUUUUUCUGGUCAUCCUUGACCUUUCCCCUGCCAGUCAUGACCAUUCGAGUCAGAUCCUUGACUCUUCUGGAUAGAUCGGUAACUUUCAAAGUCUUUCUCACCUUUUUUGGGUUCUUCGAAACCCUAACCUUUAAAAUCUUUUGAUUUUC
rnacentral:lncRNA from 1 species